GGCCCUUCGGGGUACUCGAGUGGCGAACGGGUGAGUAACACGUGGGUGAUCUGCCCUGCACUUUGGGAUAAGCCUGGGAAACUGGGUCUAAUACCGAAUACACCCUGCUGGUCGCAUGGCCUGGUGGGGGAAAGCUUUUGCGGUGUGGGAUGGGCCCGCGGCCUAUCAGCUUGUUGGUGGGGUGAUGGCCUACCAAGGCGACGACGGGUAGCCGGCCUGAGAGGGUGUCCGGCCACACUGGGACUGAGAUACGGCCCAGACUCCUACGGGAGGCAGCAGUGGGGAAUAUUGCACAAUGGGCGCAAGCCUGAUGCAGCGACGCCGCGUGAGGGACGACGGCCUUCGGGUUGUAAACCUCUUUCAGCACAGACGAAGCGCAAGUGACGGUAUGUGCAGAAGAAGCACCGGCCAACUACGUGCCAGCAGCCGCGGUAAUACGUAGGGUGCGAGCGUUGUCCGGAAUUACUGGGCGUAAAGAGCUCGUAGGUGGUUUGUCGCGUUGUUCGUGAAAACUCACAGCUCAACUGUGGGCGUGCGGGCGAUACGGGCAGACUGGAGUACUGCAGGGGAGACUGGAAUUCCUGGUGUAGCGGUGGAAUGCGCAGAUAUCAGGAGGAACACCGGUGGCGAAGGCGGGUCUCUGGGCAGUAACUGACGCUGAGGAGCGAAAGCGUGGGGAGCGAACAGGAUUAGAUACCCUGGUAGUCCACGCCGUAAACGGUGGGUACUAGGUGUGGGUUUCCUUCCUUGGGAUCCGUGCCGUAGCUAACGCAUUAAGUACCCCGCCUGGGGAGUACGGCCGCAAGGCUAAAACUCAAAGAAAUUGACGGGGGCCCGCACAAGCGGCGGAGCAUGUGGAUUAAUUCGAUGCAACGCGAAGAACCUUA
rnacentral:rRNA from 2 species